GAUGAACGCUGGCGGCGUGCCUAAUACAUGCAAGUCGAGCGAACGGACGAGAAGCUUGCUUCUCUGAUGUUAGCGGCGGACGGGUGAGUAACACGUGGAUAACCUACCUAUAAGACUGGGAUAACUUCGGGAAACCGUAGCUAAUACCGGAUAAUAUUUUGACCGCAUGGUUCAAAAGUGAAAGACGGUCUUGCUGUCACUUAUAGAUGGAUCCGCGCUGCAUUAGCUAGUUGGUAAGGUAACGGCUUACCAAGGCAACGAUGCAUAGCCGACCUGAGAGGGUGAUCGGCCACACUGGAACUGAGACACGGUCCAGACUCCUACGGGAGGCAGCAGUAGGGAAUCUUCCGCAAUGGGCGAAAGCCUGACGGAGCAACGCCGCGUGAGUGAUGAAGGUCUUCGGAUCGUAAAACUCUGUUAUUAGGGAAGAACAUAUGUGUAAGUAACUGUGCACAUCUUGACGGUACCUAAUCAGAAAGCCACGGCUAACUACGUG
rnacentral:rRNA from 1 species